GACGGAGGAUUCAAGCGUUAUCCGGAAUGAUUGGGCGUAAAGCGUCCGCAGGUGGCAGUUCAAGUCUGCUGUCAAAGACCGGGGCUUAACUUCGGAAAGGCAGUGGAAACUGAACAGCUAGAGUAUGGUAGGGGCAGAGGGAAUUCCUGGUGUAGCGGUGAAAUGCGUAGAUAUCAGGAAGAACACCCGUGGCGAAGGCGGCUCUCUGGGACGGUACUGACGCUGAGACGCGAAAGCGUGGGGAGCGAACAGG
rnacentral:rRNA from 1 species